rnacentral:lncRNA from 1 species
GGACAGGGUAGGGCGGAGCCAUUCAGAUUGUAAUCCUAUUUCCUGCCAUUAUGAUAGUGUGAGAUGGCUGUGCCUUCAGUGUGGAUCUAAUCCCUUUAGCUCUUGUUAUCAACCUCUUUAUCACUGUGGAUCAGCAAAGGAGGUUGUGGGUACGGAGCAACAUGGUAACCCUGCCGUUCGCUGAGCUGUUUCCCCCACGGGGUAGACUCGAGAAUCUGCAGCAAGGUGGAAUCAGCAAGCGGCCGCAUCAAUGUGCCGACUGAGGACGCCGGUUAUGACGAUGCACCAUCUGAAGCCGGGACGCUUUUGUGAGAAUCACUUUACAUAUAAAGGCGGCUUGAGAGGCGCCAACCAGCUGUCUUUGCAAACACUCCCGAUGCCCUUGAGAUGAAUAGAUAAAAAAAAAAAAAAAACAGAUAAACAUGUUACCGAAACAUAAAACCUCCCGGAGGGUUUCACAGAGAGUAUUUCUUCGAUAUACACAGAGAUUGGGAUGAAAACCCAAUCUCAAGGCCUGGCAAUGCAGCUAAGGGUGUUUAGGGUGUGGAUUUAUAGUACCAGUUUACAAUAAACAGUUUUGUGCCGGCCAAGACAGGGAUGUAGAGGAAGAUAAAAAAAAAAAUGAAUAGAAAGAAGAAAGCGAGCACCCUCCUGCAGAGAAUGUGUCACGGAAUGUUUCAGCACUUGGUUUGUCGUUUUUACACGGCAAACACCCCCUUUCUCCUCCUGUCUCCCACUGGCUUAGUGCAUCUGCUGACUCGCUUGCCACCCCGUCCCCUCCUUCCAGAUUCGGGCUGUCAGUCGCCGCAGAGAAAUGGAGGCCGACGCCCUCAGCGUUUUCCUGCAGACGGUGGGGGAACGACGGCCCCUUUCUCCGCGACAGCAGCCAGCGCUUCUGCUCGGAUCCCGGCUCGGGAAUCUAUCUGAGGAACGGGCGGCUGACAGCUCUCCCGAUGCUCCGCCUGUGGCCUGAUUCUGAAUUGGCUAUUUAGAGAUUACGUCUUCUGUGACAAGGAAGACAGAUGGACAGUCAUCAUUCAAACAUGAUGUCACACUGCCCCCUUCAGGACCCUCAAAUGAAACUCUGAAAGCCCUCAGAGCUCGUCGGAAGACAGACUGCUAAGCGGACGAGCCUCAGUGCUGAAACUUUAAUGAAUUUAAAAGGCACAGUCCACUUUGUGGGACACGGUAGAAGUGCUCAGUGUUUAGAGUGCUGCUCAGGAUGUCAGAGGCUUGCAGGGUAGUCGCAGCCAUGAGUCACAUGGCCUGUCAUAAUGCAUCACGGCAUGUCAACGUUGUCUUAUGCAAUGCUGCUCCUAAGACCCGUUGGCUCAAGUGUCACAAUUUUUCUCUUCUGCAGUCCUGUCUACCUAAAUUAAAUCAUAAUCUGAGGCUACCAAUCCCUCUUAUUCCCUCAUAUUCAGAUAUAUCUUAUUAGUUCAUGCAAAAGCAAAAGAGAAAACAAGGGGAAACAUUUUAAUUACAAUAUCAAAGUCUAAUUAGAUUAAAGCAUUGAUUGAUUAAAGAGUAGGCAAAUGUCCGUCGGCUUGUUUGUGAGAUAUGAUUUGUACUGCCAGGGCAAUUAAUUUGUGAUCAAUCAUGUUUUAAAGGCCCUGUUAAUCUGAGAGCAUGUUACUUGUGCAAGCUGUGUGAGUGUGUCCAUGUGCUUGUAGUUGUCCAUAAUUUUUUUUUUUUUUUUUGUAGCAUUGACUGAAUUGGAGGGAAUCCUCUGUUUGCAUGAAUCAGUGGUGAUUAAGCUCAUUGACACAUCAGAGAUGGCCUGGAAUGCGUUAUAACUCUAAAACAUGAAAAAAAUAAAAAAAUAACUGGUCUAGUGUAAUUAAACUGA